rnacentral:snRNA from 1 species
AAACCUUGUCUGCGUCUCUUGGACCAUGAAGCACAAACAUUAUCUCCUAAGCUAAUAUCUGUUCUUAUCAGUUGAAUAUCUGAUAUGUCCUUUAUUUGAGGACUGUAUAUUAAAUUGAUUUUUGUGAGGACUUCCC